CGCGGCCUAUCAGCUUGUUGGUGAGGUAACGGCUCACCAAGGCUACGACGGGUAGCUGGCCUGAGAGGACGAUCAGCCACACUGGGACUGAGACACGGCCCAGACUCCUACGGGAGGCAGCAGCAGGGAAUAUUGCACAAUGGGCGAAAGCCUGAUGCAGCGACGCCGCGUGAGGGAUGAAGGCCUUCGGGUUGUAAACCUCUUUCAGGAGGGAAGAAGCGAAAGUGACGGUACCUCCACAAGAAGCCCCGGCCAACUACGUGCCAGCAGCCGCGGUAAUACGUAGGGGGCGAGCGUUGUCCGGAUUCAUUGGGCGUAAAGAGCUCGUAGGCGGCUCAGCAAGUCGGUCGUGAAAGCCCGAGGCUCAACCUCGGGACGCCGAUCGAAACUGCUGUGGCUAGGGUCCGGUAGAGGAGAGUGGAAUUCCCGGUGUAGCGGUGAAAUGCGCAGAUAUCGGGAGGUACACCAGUAGCGAAGGCGGCUCUCUGGGCCGGCACCGACGCUGAGGAGCGAAAGCUAGGGGAGCAAACAGGAUUAGAUACCCUGGUAGUCCUAGCCGUAAACGUUGGGCACUAGGUGUGGCGGACUCAUUGACGUCUGCCGUGCCGUAGCUAACGCAUUAAGUGCCCCGCCUGGGGAGUACGG
rnacentral:rRNA from 1 species